UUGUUAGGCCAACAGUUGGUCUGAAAGCUUUCAAGUGAUUUGUGCUUUUGGUUAUUUGACAGCCUUUCUCUUUUU
rfam:Chlorobium limicola DSM 245, complete genome.